AAAUAAGAAGCAAAUAUUUGCCUUUAGUUUCGACCUAAAAAUUUGAUUUAAAUAAAUCCUUAUUUU
rnacentral:tRNA from 1 species